UCUCUCUGAGCUUCCUCAGGCUUGCCAUAUGGCCAGAAGGAAUCUAUAAAAGCCUGUUUUCCACAAAACUCAUGAAAGGUUUCUACAUGAAGUAGUGUCUAGAUAUUUCAAACUGCAACAAAUACACAGCAUGUGCAUCUGUGGCAGUGAUGAUCCCAAGGUGUAUCAAGGACUAACAUAAUCUUCUCAGGAAGAAGACACAU